AGCGAACGCUGGCGGCAGGCCUAACACAUGCAAGUCGAGCGGGCCCUUUCGGGGGUCAGCGGCAGACGGGUGAGUAACACGUGGGAACGUGCCCAUCGGUUCGGAACAACCCAGGGAAACUUGGGCUAAUACCGGAUACGACCGUGAGGUGAAAGAUUUAUCGCCGAUGGAUCGGCCCGCGUCUGAUUAGCUGGUUGGUGAGGUAACGGCUCACCAAGGCGACGAUCAGUAGCUGGUCUGAGAGGAUGAUCAGCCACACUGGGACUGAGACACGGCCCAGACUCCUACGGGAGGCAGCAGUGGGGAAUAUUGGACAAUGGGCGCAAGCCUGAUCCAGCCAUGCCGCGUGAGUGAUGACGGCCCUAGGGUUGUAAAGCUCUUUCGGCGGGGACGAUAAUGACGGUACCCGCAGAAGAAGCCCCGGCUAACUUCGUGCCAGCCGCCGCCGUAACAC
rnacentral:rRNA from 1 species